GCCUGGCAGUUUUUUUGGCUCUACAAGCCCUGUUACUGUGGUCCACUGCUUCCGGUCAGCACCAAAUGCACACCAGGUGUGAAGUCAAUCAGAGGUACACAUUGGGUUUCCACAGUGUGUGUGGACACUUGAUGUGAUGAAUGAGCAUUCACUGCAGCCAGCUUGUUCGAAGGAUAUAAUAUUUUAAUUUAUAUUAUAUUCUGAUUUAUUGGAUCCACUAAAUAAAGAGUUCACGAAAUAAAAUGUGAAAAGAUUAUCUCCACAAGGAAUAUGUCAAGGACAAGCCACGUUAAUCAAAGGAAAAUAUGCUCAACAUUACAAAUGAA